CAACCUGCCGCUUACUCGGGGAUAGCCUUUCGAAAGAAAGAUUAAUACCCGAUGGUAUAAAGAGUUCGCAUGUUCUCUUUAUUAAAGAAUUUCGGUAAGCGAUGGGGAUGCGUUCCAUUAGAUAGUUGGCGGGGUAACGGCCCACCAAGUCUACGAUGGAUAGGGGUUCUGAGAGGAAGGUCCCCCACAUUGGAACUGAGACACGGUCCAAACUCCUACGGGAGGCAGCAGUGAGGAAUAUUGGUCAAUGGACGAGAGUCUGAACCAGCCAAGUAGCGUGAAGGAUGACUGCCCUAUGGGUUGUAGACUUCUUUUAUAAGGGAAUAAAGUGAGGGACGUGUCCCUUUUUGUAUGUACCUUAUGAAUAAGGAUCGGCUAACUCCGUGCCAGCAGCCGCGGUAAUACGGAGGAUCCAAGCGUUAUCCGGAUUUAUUGGGUUUAAAGGGAGCGUAGGUUGACAUAUAAGUCAGCUGUGAAAGUUUACGGCUCAACCGUGAAAUUGCAGUUGAUACUGUAUGUCUUGAGUGUACAAGAGGUGGGCGGAAUUCGUGGUGUAGCGGUGAAAUGCUUAGAUAUCACGAAGAACUCCGAUUG
rnacentral:rRNA from 1 species